CCUCACUGAGCACCAGGGCAGCAGGUUUUCCGUUUCCAAAGCCAGAUGCAUGUCAUGAUGUGUAUGAAAAGAACUUAAGUUGGAACAAGGAGGAGAAAGAAGUAUUUUGGGUUUUCAUGAGAAAAUGGGUUUGGAACACUACCUGCAAGUGCUCUCAGAGGCCGCUUGAAGAAGGAGGAAAGGAUUGGGCUAAAGAUUUUCAUGGAGAUUUUUAUUUUCACAUGAUCAAUUGUCCAACUGAGGCAGUGCAUGGUACAAAGGUGUGGGAAACAUGGCAUGGGACCUUAAAUAGACUAAGAUAAGUUUCCAUAUUUGUUAAAUUUGUUAAGUUUGUUAUGUUUGUUAAUUUUUUACAAAUACACUCAAUUUUAAAAAUCAUUGGUUUGUAAGUAAUUUAUAAUCAGAAUUC